rnacentral:lncRNA from 1 species
AUGAGGGCCCUGCCAGCCACCAUGUGUCCCAGGCACGAUUUGAAUUCAUGUCUUCCCUACUCCAAGGCCAGGUCUCCAGCCAUGCUGCCUUUUUUGGUUAUGUUCUGCCCAGCCCACCACACUCACACACACAGACACUCUCUGUCUCUGUCUCUCUGUCUCUGUCUCUGUCUCUCCCUCCCUCCCUCUGUCUCUCUCUCCCUCUCUCUCUCUCUCUCUCUCCCCCUCUCUGUCUCUGUUUCUCUCUGUCUCUCUCUUUUUCUCUCUGUCUCUCUUUUUCUUUCUGUCUCUCUGUCUCUCCCUCUCUCUUUCUUCCUCUGUCUCUCUGAGUGUCUCUGUCUCUCUUUUUUUCUCUGUCUCUCUGAGUGUCUCUCUUUGUCUCUCUCUUAUUCCUCAAGCUCACA